rnacentral:lncRNA from 1 species
AGAUCGAAUGAAACUUGAGACGGAUGAAUCGUUAUCAAAUCUGUUUCGAUUAAAUAGAAAUUUAGUGGAAAUGCAAGGCCCAUUGUGCAAAUAUCCUCCACCAUAGCAUCGGGUGGACUAAUGCCUGGGGAAGUCUUUUACGGUUACAGAAGAUCAUCAAAUGUUCUUGACUUUGUUACACCG